rnacentral:rRNA from 1 species
AUUGAACGCUGGCGGCAGGCUUAACACAUGCAAGUCGAACGAGUGGCGGACGGGUGAGUAAUGCUUGGGACUCUCGCUUAUGGUGGGGGAUAACUACGGGAAACUGUAGCUAAUACCGCGUACCAUAGGAUGAGCCCAAGUGGGAUUAGGUAGUUGGUGAGGUAACGGCUCACCAAGCCGACGAUCUCUAGCUGGUCUGAGAGGAUGACCAGCCACACUGGGACUGAGACGCGGCCCAGACUCCUACGGGAGGCAGCGGAGGAGAAUAUUGCGCGAUGGGGGCAACCUGACGCAGCCAUGCCGCGUGAAUGAAGAAGUCCUUCGGGUUGUAAAGUUCUUUCUGUAGCGGGGCGUUAGCUACAGAAGAAGCACCGGCUAACUCCGUGCCAGCAGCCGCGGUAAUAC